rnacentral:lncRNA from 1 species
ACUGUGAAUCGUUGCGCAUUUAUUUCAGGUGUUUCCACGCGCACAUUGAACGAAGGGAAGAUUUCAGGACUUUGCACACGCUAUAGCAAGUGGGAAUGCAAAUGGAUUGCUGAAGACUCCUGUCCACCGCGCAAAGUUAACCUGACACCGUGUCCUUCGAAAAGAAUGAUUGAUUGCACUGAAUGGAUACUCAGGUCAGGUAUAAGAUUCUGCAGCUGCGAAUGCGGAAGUACGAGAACUGGAGUCCGAAAAUACCACAAACGUUAAAUUCAACAUAAUCAGCAUUUGUGUUUCUAUUGCUGUGAUUUGUAGGAAAGUGUCAGCAAUGAUUAAAAAGGAUUAAAGGUUUCUUCAAGCAAGACAAA